ensembl:lncRNA
AGAACUGUGCCAAGUUCCUCCUUGGAGAGGCAGCCAGAUGGACACCCAGAACUUUCCGUAUCUUCGUGUCGAGGAUGAAAAUCUGGUUAAAACAAAUGUAGACGUUGACAAGCACAAUCUACAAAAAGGAGAGAAAAGGAAAAGAAAUAACCUAUUGGUGGUCCUCAAAGGGAUGGAGACUGCAACUCUAUACAGAAAAGAAAAAGGCAAAUGCACCUCACAGAGAACUGGGACACUGUGAAUCAUCUACUUUUGAAUUCUUAAAAUUGGAAAUUAGAAACUUAUGAAGGAUUUGUAGCUAUGCUUGGGAAAUAGUGAAUUUAAAUCUAUCUGUCCGUCUAUGUGCUGUGCUUGGUCGUUCAGUCAUGUCUGACUCUUUGAGGCCCCGUGAACUGUAGCCCACUAGGUUCCUCUGCCCAUGGAAUUUCCCAGGCAAGAAUACUGGAGACGGAGGAUCUUCCCG